GAGAGGGAGGAGGGGGGGAGGGGGAGGAGGAUUCAGGAGGGAGGAGAAGGUGGCAAAGAGCUUCCUAGGGUUAGAGGCAGAUGCUUAGAAUUUACAGUGGAAGAAAGUGGCUUUCGCAGCAGAAACAGAGGAAGCAGAGUCAGCAUUAUUUCCUGAUAGUGGCUGGUUGAUAAUACAAUCUACACACGUCCUUCUAAUCAAUAGGUUUGCAAUAGGUGGGAGUUUCUGACAUGGUUAUGCAGUAAAUGAGUUAAUAUUGUUACAGGCUUCGAAAUGAUUAGCCCAAGCGCAGCGUGUAUAGUGCUCAUUUUUAAACUUUUAAUGAAGACACUUGAACCAAAACAAUAAAACGACCGACAACAGUUCCGUAAGGUACACUGACAAAACGGAAAACAACUACCCACAAAACCCAAAGGAAAAACAGGCUGCCUAAGUAUGGCUUCCAAUCAGAGACAACGCUAGACACCUGCCUCUGAUUGGAAACCAUACCCGGCGAAAACAUAGAAGUAGAAAUCUAGAAAAGCCCCACAUAUAAACAGAAAACCCAAAACCACCCAAAACAACCACCUGUCACGCCCUGACCACUGUACUAUGGAAAAUGACCUCUUACAAGGGUCAGGACCUGACAAAUAGACUAAUAACAAAGAGUUCCAAAGAGAGUUCUAAUAAAUCUAUUACAGUAAGGUACUUAAUUGUUACCCUGAAAUGAUUUGCUAUUGAUAUAAAACGGCUGCAUUGGGCCUUUACCUACUCUUUGUCUGACUUAUGCUGCGUUUGUAACCAAGUGGGAAGUGAGAAUUUACCACAUAUGUCUGGGAAAAAUCAAUUUUAACGCCCCUUCAACUGGUAAUCACUAGUGGGAACUCGUCUAUCAUCCUGAGCUCCCACAUGCUAACUUCUGACAACAACUACUAAAGAAAUGACCUCGUUAACAGCAUUUUCGGCAGAUAAAUGCAAUAACAAAACAUUAUUUCUAAAAAGCAAUCUAUCAAUAGGGUUUUUGAACUCUAUCAUUUCUUUACAAGCAUUAUAGCUGUACUUUUAGUUUAUGGUUUAUGCAGCUUGUUGGUCAUUAGUCAAUCAGUGUUUCUCAACAAGUUCAAAGCACAUGAAUACAUCCAACUUAUAUUUACGACUUCACAACUGGUAAAUUCCCACCUCCCACUUGUUUAUGAAUGCGACAUUAGUCAUAGGAACGAGGUGAAGAGAUGACGGAAUGCUGGAAAGGUUCAUGAGUAGUGUAACCCUACACCUCUUCCGCCAAAAACAAUAGACCACACCUCCAUCCUCGCUCCCGCUGUCUCUCUCUCUCUCUCAACCACUCUGUUACCAUAUAAGGCAAAAAAGACUGGUGAAGCCAGUCACUGUUGAACAAAUGGGCUGAGAAGGGAGAGUUGCAGAAUUCCUCUGCCAUCUCUCUCUGCUUUUCUCAUACUCUAAAACUUGUAAUGUUUGUUGUGUGAUAAUUUGACUGGCCCUGCCUGUGCCACAUAGUCAAAAUGCCUUUGGAAUGUGUGUGUGGUGAUGCUGUAACAACAGCCAUACCUGGCACAGCCCAAGAGUAUUCUGUGUUUAUAGUAAAUACUUAGCUCUAUUUAUAUUUCAAGCAGAUAUCACCCUCCAGCUUGUUGAAUGUCCGUUCUGUUCCAGACAAAUAUACAUUUACCAUACACAAAGCAGACACUGUUUCUCGCUCCCAUCUUUUCCUCAUCAUGUACAUUUAUUUUAUAUUUAACCUUCAU
rnacentral:lncRNA from 1 species